CACUAGCUGAGAGAAAUGGAGUUUGGAGGAGGUUGGGAAGUUGCUGGAGUCUUGCGUGUGUGCUGAAAAAGUCUCUGGUGUGUAGCUGUAUGUGUUGCAUGAUGGCGCUGACUGGGUAUAAUUCAAUGUUGGAAGACAGAUACAAUGACACAUGACAGUUAACUCACCGGUCCGGAGCUGUCGACCAGGGU